AACAAUGCAGCAAUUCUUAAAAGUGAAGAAUUUGACGAUUAAUGGACUUAGAGGUUACAAAAAGACAUAAUCAUUGCAGACAGAGGGUUAUUGUGAUGUCCUUUUUUGGAAGAAGAAGGAAUUGAUUGUAAGAUUCCACCUGUCCUCAAAAGAGGUGAAUUUCAACAUACUACAAAGGCAGCUAAUGAAUCUCGAUUGAUUACAAAAUCUAGCUGAGGCAAUAAUAAAUCGCUACCGAAACUUAAUAUUAAUGGAAGAAGCUACUGUAGAGUUUACUCAUAGAAUAAUUGAAAAAGUCAAUACUCCAAACGAUGUGCAAGCAAGAGUAGAACAGGAGAAUCUUUUUAGGAAGAAUGCUGUAUAGAACAAAUUAAAUGAGAAUCAUGCCUAGAAUUUUCCAAGAUGUGAUAUGAAUUAUUGGAAGAAUUAAUGUUCAAUAUUUAUCAAAUAGGACUGGUGCCAUCUUAUAUUCAAGAUAAACACGAUAUAGAGGCAACUGAUGUCUUCGAAUUUGAUAAAGAUAGAGAUGAAUCGGGCUUUAUACAAAUAAGAUUAUAUUCACGAUUUCGCAAUUAAAUUAAAUAUCAAAUAUGGAUUGCUCAUCAACUGGAUAAUGAGGAUGAUGAGAGAGAGAGAGAAUCGAUUCUAGGAUAUUAUUGCAUAUAAAACUGAUGCAAGAAUCUUGGAAUGUUGCGCUCAUCUAACGAGUAUUAUAUGGUUUUUGAGCUAUGCACGACAUCAGCUUAAUGUGAAAUAUCCAAGCAAAACUGUCUUAAAUCGAAUUAUGAAUAUUGAUAGGAAUAAUCAAGAAUAGGAUGAUAUAGAUAAAUAGGUUGAAUGUGAGAGAUGAAGGGACUCACGUUAAACAAGCACUCCGAUGUGAGAGGCGAGAGAACUCAUGUUAAACAAGCACCUCGAUGUGGGAGGCGAGGGUACUCACGUUAAACAAGUAUCCCGAUGUGGGAGGCGAGAGGACUCACAUUAAAUAAACACAUUGUAUAUGUAUAUUAUAAUACAUAUAAAAGAAAGCAUCAAGUUAUUUUAAGAAGAUAUGGCGGCAUUCAAAUUCUGUGACUUCAAAGCGCUAUAUCUUUUUAUCUGUUGAUUUUAUGUAAAUGUGGCAAUGGAGAUAUUUGUUCAGAAUCACAAAAGUACAACAUAUCUCAAAAUGGAGCAAUUUAACCGGAGACAUUUUUCCAUAAGAAACGUGCGGGAUCCUUUGCAUAGUUUGACGCUUUGGGGUGGAGUAAAUUUUUCUCAUAAAUGUCAUAGUAACCCUCGUAAAGUAUGGACUUUUCUUUUACAAAUUAAAAAAAAUUAAGUUUUAUACGAUUUUUUUCGAGGAGAUAUAGUGUAUCAAACUUAUUUAUGCAUUUUAUUCAAUUACCGCCAAUAUUAACAUUACCCGGUGCUACGGAAAGGUUACUAGUCUGAUUUUACGUGCGCGCGCACGCGUGUGUUUGUGUAUAUGUGUGUGGGGAGAGCAGAAGUAUGUGGGAAUAUAUUUGCUCUUUAAAAUUGUGUAUUUCCGCCUCGUCUUUGGAUGAUCUCUUGUAAAUAUGCACUUAUGCAAGCUCUAAUUGAAGCCUGUGAAGAAUUUCCCAUAUUUGAUGCAAUGCUGCUUCCAGUGGCUGCAAAUUUGUUAAUUGUUCUUCAAAUCUUCAUAGGCUUCCGAUCAUACAUAUUCAAUGGGAUUCAAAUCCGCGUUUAUUGAUGGAUAUGGUAGCAUCUUAAUAUUUUAUUAUGAUGUAGGAUAAUGCUCACCUACAUACCGCUAAAAUUGCAAUUAACUUCGUGGAAAAAACAUUCAAAGACGAGGCGGAAAUACACAAUUUUAAAGAGCAAAUAUACCCCAAAUAAUCCCACAUACUUCCACUCUUCCCUCCCUCCCCUCCCUCACACAUACACACGCGCACGCGCACAAAAUCAGACUAGCAACCUUCCCAUGGUGCAUAUCGGGAAAUGCUAAUGGUGGCGGUAAUUGAAUAAAAUGCAUUGCUAAGUUUGAUACAUCGUAUCUCCUCGAAAAAAAAUCGUACAAAACUUAAUUUUUUUUAAACUUGUACAAGAAAAGUUCAUACUUUUCGAUGGUUAUCUUGAUAUUUACGAGAAAAAUUUACUUCAUCCCGUAGAGUGCAUCAAACUGUGCAAAUGUCUUAAAAAAAAUUCGUUCUUAUUUUUGAAAAGAUGCCAAGGGACAAGGAUAGAUUCAAAAUCCAUUUGUAAAGUAACUUUGUAAAGUACAGACAUACUUGAUACAUACUUGAAAAUAAAAAAAAACUUUUAAAUGCGA
rnacentral:lncRNA from 1 species